rnacentral:pre_miRNA from 1 species
UUCAAAUCCUCAGUAAUCUUUGGUUUUUGUGGAACAGCUCCUGUGAAUUAUAUAAGACCAUGAGUUGUCCCACAAAGAACACAGAUCGCUGUGAAUCAUC